UGGAGGAGAUUGUUUGGCAGUCUAUAGAUGUGGUGGGAGGUGCUGCUUCCAAGGAGGAGAUCCUGCGCCUGGUGAGCAUUACGACCGAGAAGAGAGUGCUGUUACUGGUGGACAAUGUGGACGAGGCCAUGGAAAAUCUAAUGGAGAAGGGACUGAUCUGCAAGCAGGAGGGAAAGUAUCAGAUCAUCAAUCAAGAGGAGUAGCUUAAGCCACAUCUUCAUACUUUUUGGAUCCUCACAGCCAGUUAUAAUAAAUUUUAUUGUACAUAUGAUACUGAAGUUAAGCAAAACUGUAAAGAAUGGUGAAAUAUGGUUAAGAUCAAGAAAUUCCAAAGAAUUUUGUGUAAACUAUAAAUGUUUGAAUAAAUAUCUACAAGUUUUGUACGAAAUCUAAAA